rnacentral:misc_RNA from 1 species
CGACUCCUCAAGCUCCUGCUUGGUGUUGGGCGUUGUCUCGUUUUCAGACGAGGGCACGCCUCAAAGUUAGUGGCGGCCACGGCUCGGCCCUAAGUACAAUAGACCCAAUCUUGCUCAGGGAGUUUUCGGGUAUGUAUGCCAGUCGAGAUCUUGCCAUUGUGUCAAA